CAACGCGCCGAAAAUUAUCGGGGCUAAAACAUGACACCGAAGCUUAGGAAUUGGUGUAAAUCAAUUGGUAGAGGAGCAAUGUGUGCGCGCUGAAGCGUUAGCGGAAGCGGGCGUGGAGUGCACACAAGAGAGAAUGCCGGUAUAAGUAGCGAAAGCGGAGUGAGAAUCUCCGCCAUCGAAAGUCUCAGGUUUCCUGGGGAAGGUUCGUCCCCCCAGGGUUAGUCGGGGCCUAAGUUGAGGUCGAACGACGUAGAUGAUGGACAGCAGGCAGAUAUUCCUGCACCACCACAGGACGUUAUUACUGAUGCAGUGACACAGGAGGAUAGUCAGACCUACCCGGAUGGUAAAGGGAGGCUGCAAUACGAGGCUUAAGCGUAGUAAAGUACGCGCUUAGUUAAGGCUGAGUGUUGUGGGGAACGAAUUAAAGUAGUGGAAGCUGAUGAAUUCACACUGGCGAGAAAAGCUGCUAAGGAGGAAUGUGGUGCCCGUACCGCAAACCGACACAGGUAGACGAUGAGAGAAUCAUAAGAUGAUCGGGAUAACUCUUGUUAAGGAACUCGGCAAAAUGACCCCGUAACUUCGGGAGAAGGGGUGCCACGCAAGUGGCCGCAGUGAAAAGUCCCAAGCAACUGUUUACCAAAAACACAGGUCUCUGCAAAAUCGAAAGAUGAUGUAUAGGGGCUGACGCCUGCCCAGUGCUGGAAGGUUAAGGGGAGCUGUUAGCGCAAGCGAAGCGGUGAACUUAAGCCCCAGUGAACGGCGGCCGUAACUAUAACGGUCCUAAGGUAGCGAAAUUCCUUGUCAGGUAAGUUCUGACCCGCACGAAUGGCGUAAUGAUUUGGGAACUGUCUCAACAAGAGACCCGGCGAAAUUGUAGUAUGCGUGAAGAUGCGUAUUAACCUGCGACUGGACGGAAAGACCCCGUAGAGCUUUACUGUAGCUUGAUAUUGAAUUUCGGCAACUGCUGUGUAGGAUAGGUGGGAGACUUGGAAGCACGGGCGUCAGCUUGUGUGGAGUCGUCCUUGAAAUACCACCCUUCGGUUGCUGGGAUUCUAACGGUGUGCCGUUAUCCGGGCACCGGACAUUGCCAGGUGGGCAGUUUGACUGGGGCGGUCGCCUCCCAAAACGUAACGGAGG
rnacentral:rRNA from 1 species